AACUUAACUUUACUGUUAUUUGCUCUUGCUGACGUCAAACUUGAAGAGAACAAAAGUUUACCUGGAUGCUGUUCUCACAUUUCACUCUCAUUUUGUUUCUUUUUUCUCUUUUCAUGAACAGAUGUAUAGCUCCGCUUCAUAUUGUCAUCUACACAGUAAUAUCAUCAACAGUAAAAUGACGGGGAGGCGGGGCCUAACACAACUUGCGGAGUGACCGUAUAGGACGACCGGCCUUGGGAGGCGGGGCCUAACACAACUUGCGGAGUGACCGUAUAGGACGACCGGCCUUGGGAGGCGGGGCCUAACACAACUUGUGGAGUGAGCGUAUAGAGAUCGGCUGAUUGACCGUUAUAUUUCAAAAAGUGCUUUUGAAAGAAAGUUUGUUUUCAGCCCCCAAAAUCUUUCUACGGAGGAUUCUAAAAAUGGGAAACAUUAUUCUAAGGAUCCUAACUGAGGUGCUAAACUGGAUGGUAGGGAUGGGCAUGGCCGAUCAGCGUGAGGGUCAGCGUCAGGGUGAGUGUGAGGGUCAGUGUAAUGGACCUAUUUGCAACUUAUGUUUUGGCAUUUUCAACGGGCAGAUCUUUAGAUUUCAAUGCAAUCACAACUUUCACGGUCACUGUAUAGCACCCUGGCUAAGACAGUUUAGAAGAUGCCCUAUUUGUCAUCAAGCAAUUCAUAAUGGAAUAUGAUCAAGCCUUCUGCUCCUCCUUUCCACUCAGAUACUCAGUUCUGACCACGAGAACAACGAUUGACCACUUGAGCCCGCACACAGUCCAGGAUCCAGCUGGAAAUGGGCUCUUGGUGACUUGAAGGACAUGUGGAUGUAAUGAAGCAAAAGAAAGUUGGUAGGUGAAGAAAACCUAGUCAAGAAAGCUUAACAAGCUCAUGGUGAUGAAGCAGCAGCAACGUUUUUACUCCUGUUUCUGUGCAGAAGGCAGAAAACACAGCAAAGGGUUUACAGCAAAACUCAAACAUCUUCAUCAGGCCAAUGAUGACUACAGAAAUGGACACAGGUUCUUGUACAUUCAUGUUUAAAUGUGUCUUCUACCAAACUCUUUCAUUUGUUUUUGUCUCAGUUCCUCCCAUAUGGACGUUUCCCUCUUUUCAAAGGCAGACCCAUCCGAUGUGAUAAUCCAAUUUCAUAUAAACCAAUUUCAAUCAUUUGUACUGUUGCAAAAAGAUGCAUGUAUUUUAUCUUUAAUCAAUUAUCACAAUAUAUUAAUUUGUUAAAUUAGUUUAACCAGAGCCCAGACUGGCUUUAGACCUAACUUUUUCUCCACUAAUGCACUUCUAAAUUAAAAAUAGUGUGUUCUCUUCCUAAACAUAAUUAUAUUGGUUUAUCUCAAAGUGCUGUCUUCUGGUUUAAAUCAUAAAUCUAAAUAAGUAGAUGCCAGUAUGGUGUAUUUAAAGGUUGAGAAUCUGAAUAUUAAACGGUUGAACAAGGGGAUCCAAAAGGCUAUUCUCAGGGAUUACUUCUUUGUUUUUUGUUAAGUUUUUGUUUUUAUUAAUGAUUUGCUUAAAAUGUGUACAAACUGUUUAAAUAACCUUUAUGUGGAUGACACUGUUAUUAACAACUCUAAUUCUGACCUAUGACAAAUAAAGAAUUCUUUCAGAUCUAGUUCA